AAGGUCUUCUAUGAGAUUUUUUUUAAACAAUCAAUUUUUACAUACAUAUUCUGCCUACAGUGAUGUUCUAUUCUGAUCUGAAGCACACUUGCGAGAUAGAAGAAAUGAUAAUAAUUCCCAGAGAUGCAGUCUUUUUAAUUAAAUUUGCAUUCCACCUAUGUGUGAUAGAUGGGUUUCUUGGACAACACCUUUAGAUUUUUAAAGUGACAAAUCCUCUAUUCUCCUGAGCAGUCCUAUUGGCUUUACAAAGAAGAUAAAAUGGAAGAGCAGCAUGAUGAAUUGCAGUACCUAUCUUGCUUUACAUGCUUGUACUACACACAUUUUUUUAAAGGCAUGUGUCAUUCUUGUGCAGGUGCUGUAUGUCUGACUAAAAUAAAAGCAUUGUCACAUGGAGAAAACCUCUUCUGGCAGUUUAUUUACUGUUUCAGCUCAUUCUUUUCACAAUAUCAUAGUGAAAUGGUUUAUUUCCAAAAUUUUGCUCUUGGUACGGCAAAGGGGGAAGAAAGAAAAAGUACGAAAAGAAAAACUAAAAUGAGACAAUUUUUCCCCUUUUAUGCUCUUCCAGAAUGUAUAAACAAAUAAUUUAAUUAUGUAUUUUUCUGCAGUUCUCAUCAGAAAAUGAGUUUAGGAGCUGUGAGGGAUGACCAACUUUUUUCAUAUAAAAAGAGCUGUGUUGUGUCCAUGGCAUGUUUAGAACCCAAAUCUUGCUUUCAACCUCACUGACAUAACUUUGUGUUCUGCCUGCCCCUGCAGCUCUUCAUUCAGCACUGAGUUUGACUGAAACAAAUGACAACGAGUGGUUUGACCUUACCCCUGCAGGGAAUUCUUGGCUUCACUUUAGGCUCUAUAGACAUUUAGACUGGGGACCUCACUCCUGUAACUGUUUCUGCAUUACUUGAUCAUGAAUAGUAAGCAAAGCAGCAUGCAGACUUCUUCAAGAUUAGCAAGCCAGUACUGUGUUCACUUCUUGGAAAAAACAUUUAAAAAACAGAAUUACUGCCUGUGCGGACAGUAUUACUAUCAGUGUUCUCUUCUACUAGUUAGUGAAUGAAACAUGGUUUUGACACCCUAAAGAAUGCAGUGUAACUCUUUCCUGGUUUUUUAUGUCAUUAAUGUCAAAGGCAUUUGUGGCAGGAUGCAAAUCCCCCCUCUCUCCCCCUCCCUCCUUCAAUAUGGAAGGAGUAGGCACAUGUCCCUCUCUCUCUGCUACUUGAGGCUAACAGCUUCUUUUG